UACGAAGGGGGCUAGCGUUGCUCGGAAUCACUGGGCGUAAAGCGCACGUAGGCGGAUUGCUAAGUCAGGGGUGAAAUCCUGGAGCUCAACUCCAGAACUGCCUUUGAUACUGGCGACCUUGAGUCCGGGAGAGGUGAGUGGAACUGCGAGUGUAGAGGUGAAAUUCGUAGAUAUUCGCAAGAACACCAGUGGCGAAGGCGGCUCACUGGCCCGGUACUGACGCUGAGGUGCGAAAGCGUGGGGAGCGAAUGGG
rnacentral:rRNA from 1 species